rnacentral:rRNA from 1 species
GACGAACGCUGGCGGCGUGCUAAACACAUGCAAGUCGAACGAUGAAGCCGGAGCUUGCUCUGGUGGAUUAGUGGCGAACGGGUGAGUAACACGUGAGUAACCUGCCCUUGUCUCUGGGAUAAGCGUUGGAAACGACGUCUAAUACCGGAUACGAGCUAGGACCGCAUGGUCACUAGCUGGAAAGAAUUUCGGUCAAGGAUGGACUCGCGGCCUAUCAGUUAGUUGGUGAGGUAACGGCUCACCAAGACGACGACGGGUAGCCGGCCUGAGAGGGUGACCGGCCACACUGGGACUGAGACACGGCCCAGACUCCUACGGGAGGCAGCAGUGGGGAAUAUUGCACAAUGGGCGCAAACCUGAUGCAGCAACGCCGCGUGAGGGACGACGGCCUUCGGGUUGUAAACCUCUUUUAGCAGGGAAGAAGCGCAAGUGACGGUACCUGCAGAAAAAGCACCGGCUAACUACGUGCCAGCCGCCGCCGUAA